GGAUGCAGCUGGCCACAGCUUUCCCAAAACAAUGAAAGCUUUGGGACGGAGAGAUGGAUGUUGUGUUGCUUUUCAAAGGCUUCUUUGAUGGUCUUUUCAGCAAACAAGAAGAUGCUGAGAGCUGUGAGCACAACGAUGCUGUAGGACUGGAAGUGCAGCAGAAAUUGUCUUUCUCUUCUGUGCUGCCUCUUCAUCAGCUUCUGCUCAGGAGCGGAGGGAAGCAGAAUGUGGCUCUUCAACAGUGGGCAAAGCUCUGCAGGCCAGUGAAGAAAAUGGCAAAGAAGAAGUCUGUGGGGAUUGUUUGUGGGGGAUAAAUGGGGACGAGUCCCAGAGAAUAACCUGGAAGCUGUCCUCUAUUUGUUUUCAAUCUGCUGACUUCCCAAACCAAUGUAGCCACUCAUCCAUGAAGCUAAACAGACUUUGCUAACGCUUUAUUUCUAGCAGAGCUGAGGGAAGGUUUUUUUUAAUCAGUGUGUAAUGGCUGCCUGGUACAUAAGUGCUUUCUGACAUCUCUGCAUUCCACGUGGAAAGGUGUAUGAGAUCUAAACUAAACCCGUUGCCUUAAAUGGAGAAAAUCCUGAUUUCUCCAGUAUUUGUAAAACAAAAGUUAAACUCGGUAUUGUGACGGGAUACAAUCGGUGGUACUACCUGGAACUGGGAGGCAGCCCGCUGUGUGAGUUCGCAGACUGCAUUUUCCCCAUUCACAGAAGCAGGGAAGGAGAACUGUAAUUAAGAGUAACCUUCAGCUUAGGCAGACUGCUUAAAAUUGGAAACCUCCAGGAUUAUUAAUUUUACUGAUUUUUAUAUGGAUGUGAAUUAACCGUGUAAUUUCUUUUCUCUGUGUGUAUUUUCUAAAAUAAGUGAAAGAUAAGGCACUGUGUUCAUCUUGCUCAUGAUCCUUUUUUUUUUUCCCCUUCCAACCCAUGCAGACUGUCCUUCUCCCAUGGAGCACUCCCUGUUUGUUGAUGCAGCUCAGUUCUUAAUGCCACGGUAGUGAGGUUGAUGCAGGAACUAAAUGCUGAGCAUUAGUACAAAAUAAUGUAAAUAUGUUGGUUCUGCACGAGCAGUUUGCCACAUUAAGUAAACAUUCUUGGGAAUUAUUCAAGAGAAGGUGGAAUAUAUAUAUAUAUUUUUCCAAAUAUAUUUGCAUAAUGCAGCAAAUUUCUCAGCUUUUGUGCACCAGUGAAUGUAGAUGGGGUAUUCAUUUAAGAAGUUUACAGUUCUGCAGCCAGUCUAAUGUCUGCU
ensembl:lncRNA